rnacentral:rRNA from 1 species
GCCCUUAGAGUUUGAUCCUGGCUCAGGAUGAACGCUGGCGGCGUGCCUAAUACAUGCAAGUCGAACGAAUCUCUUUUAGAGAUGAGUGGCGAACGGGUGAGUAAUACAUAGGUAACCUGCCCCUGUGCGGGGGAUAACAGGAGGAAACUCCUGCUAAUACCGCAUAGCCAUGAGCACCGCAUGGAGCUCAUGCCAAAUAUCCUUUAUGGGAUAGCGCAGGGAUGGACCUAUGGCGCAUUAGCUGGUUGGCGGGGCAACGGCCCACCAAGGCAACGAUGCGUAGCCGGCCUGAGAGGGCGGACGGCCACAUUGGGACUGAGACACGGCCCAGACUCCUACGGGAGGCAGCAGUAGGGAAUUUUCGGCAAUGGGGGAAACCCUGACCGAGCAACGCCGCGUGAGCGAAGAAGGCCUUCGGGUCGUAAAGCUCUGUUGUAAAGGAAGAACGGCGCAUACAGGAAAUGGUAUGCGAGUGACGGUACUUUACCAGAAAGCCACGGCUAACUACGUGCCAGCAGCCGCGGUAAUACGUAGGUGGCGAGCGUUAUCCGGAAUCAUUGGGCGUAAAGAGGGAGCAGGCGGCCGCAAGGGUCUGUGGUGAAAGACCGAAGCUAAACUUCGGUAAGCCAUGGAAACCGGGCGGCUAGAGUGCGGAAGAGGAUCGUGGAAUUCCAUGUGUAGCGGUGAAAUGCGUAGAUAUAUGGAGGAACACCAGUGGCGAAGGCGACGGUCUGGGCCGCAACUGACGCUCAUUCCCGAAAGCGUGGGGAGCAAAUAGGAUUAGAUACCCUAGUAGUCCACGCCGUAAACGAUGGUCACUAAGUGUCGGGGGUCAAACCCCGGUGCUGCAGUCAACGCAAUAAGUGACCCGCCUGAGUAGUACGUUCGCAAGAAUGAAACU